rnacentral:rRNA from 1 species
CAGCCGCCGCGGUAAAACGAAGGGUGCAAGCGUUACUCGGAAUUACUGGGCGUAAAGCGUGCGUAGGUGGUGGUUUAAGUCCGUUGUGAAAGCCCUGGGCUCAACCUGGGAAUUGCAGUGGAUACUGGGUCACUAGAGUGUGGUAGAGGAUAGUGGAAUUUCCGGUGUAGCAGUGAAAUGCGUAGAGAUCGGAAGGAACAUCUGUGGCGAAGGCGACUAUCUGGGCCAACACUGACACUGAGGCACGAAAGCGUGGGGAGCAAACAGGAUUAGAGACCCCGGUAGUCCCUGUCUCUUAUAC